rnacentral:rRNA from 1 species
GAUGAACGCUGGCGGCGUGCCUAAUACAUGCAAGUCGAACGGGGAGUCGCAAUACUCUUAGUGGCGAACGGGUGAGUAACGCGUUGGUACCUGCCCCGAAGCGGGGGAUAACGGACCGAAAGGUCCGCUAAUACCCCAUGUGCUCGGUAACGAGUAAAGGUGAAAACCACUUUGGGAGGGGCCUGCGUCCCAUCAGCUAGUUGGUAAGGUAACGGCUUACCAAGGCGAUGACGGGUAGGGGACCUGAGAGGGUGGCCCCCCACAAUGGAACUGAAACACGGACAAUACGAGGAGGGGGGGAGGCGGGAAGUACGAGAGAGAAUGGGGGGCGGCGUGCACCAGCAGCGUCGCGGGUGGGGAGACGGCCUUGGGGGUGUAAAGCAUUGGUGAGGGGGACGAGGAAUGACGGUGCCGGACGAAGCAGCCGCGGAUAACUCCGAGCCAGCAGCGGGGGACAAAACGAAAGACAACACGUCUGAAC